rnacentral:rRNA from 1 species
AACGAACGCUGGCGGCAUGCCUAACACAUGCAAGUCGAACGAGACCUUCGGGUCUAGUGGCGCACGGGUGCGUAACGCGUGGGAACCUGCCCUUAGGUUCGGAAUAACUCCCCGAAAGGGGUGCUAAUACCGGAUAAUGUCUUCGGACCAAAGAUUUAUCGCCUUUGGAUGGGCCCGCGUUGGAUUAGCUAGUUGGUAGGGUAAAAGCCUACCAAGGCGACGCUCCAUAGCUGGUCUGAGAGGAUGAUCAGCCACACUGGGACUGAGAAACGGCCCAGACUCCUGCGGGAAGCAGCAGUGGGGAAUAUUGGACAAUGGGCGAAAGCCUGAUCCAGCAAUGCCGCGUGAGUGAUGAAGUCCUUAGGGUUGUAAAGCUCUUUUACCCGGGAUGAUAAUGACAGUACCGGGAGAAUAAGCUCCGGCUAACUCCGUG